AACCUUAUGGACCUGCGGGCGUAUACCUGCGGAGGGAUCAUUACCGAGUGUGGCCCCAUUUUUAUAAAAAGGGGUACCUCCCGUCCUUUGCAGGGCCCUUUGGGGCUUUUUGAACUUUGCUUCGGCGGGUUUUAUCCCGCCGGAACACCCUCAAGAAAAUCUUUUAUAAAAACUGUUUGUCUGAGGCACUUGCGAAUUAUAAAACAAAACUUUCAACAAUGGAUCUCAGAUCGGAAGAGC
rnacentral:misc_RNA from 1 species